UACGUAGGGGGCAAGCGUUGUCCGGAUUUAUUGGGCGUAAAGAGCGUGUAGGCGGUUUGGUAGGUCCGCUGUGAAAACUCGAGGCUCAACCUCGAGACGCCGGUGGAAACCAUCAGACUAGAGUCCGGAAGAGGAGAAUGGAAUUCCUGGUGUAGCGGUGGAAUGCGCAGAUAUCAGGAGGAACACCGGUGGCGAAGGCGGGUCUCUGGGCCAUUACUGACGCUGAGGAGCGAAAGCGUGGGGAGCGAACAGG
rnacentral:rRNA from 1 species